rnacentral:rRNA from 1 species
GAACCACUUCGGUGGGGAUUAGUGGCGAACGGGUGAGUAACACGUGGGCAAUCUGCCCUUCACUCUGGGACAAGCCCUGGAAACGGGGUCUAAUACCGGAUAUCACUCUCGCAGGCAUCUGUGAGGGUCGAAAGCUCCGGCGGUGAAGGAUGAGCCCGCGGCCUAUCAGCUUGUUGGUGAGGUAAUGGCUCACCAAGGCGACGACGGGUAGCCGGCCUGAGAGGGCGACCGGCCACACUGGGACUGAGACACGGCCCAGACUCCUACGGGAGGCAGCAGUGGGGAAUAUUGCACAAUGGGCGAAAGCCUGAUGCAGCGACGCCGCGUGAGGGAUGACGGCCUUCGGGUUGUAAACCUCUUUCAGCAGGGAAGAAGCGAAAGUGACGGUACCUGCAGAAGAAGCGCCGGCUAACUACGUGCCAGCAGCCGCGGUAAUACGUAGGGCGCAAGCGUUGUCCGGAAUUAUUGGGCGUAAAGAGCUCGUAGGCGGCUUGUCACGUCGGGUGUGAAAGCCCGGGGCUUAACCCCGGGUCUGCAUUCGAUACGGGCUAGCUAGAGUGUGGUAGGGGAGAUCGGAAUUCCUGGUGUAGCGGUGAAAUGCGCAGAUAUCAGGAGGAACACCGGUGGCGAAGGCGGAUCUCUGGGCCAUUACUGACGCUGAGGAGCGAAAAGCGUGGGGG